rnacentral:rRNA from 1 species
UGCAGUCGAACGGCAGCACAGAGGAGCUUGCUCCUUGGGGGGCGAGUGGCGGACGGGGGAGGAAUACAUCGGAAUCUACUCUGUCGUGGGGGAUAACGUAGGGAAACUUACGCUAAUACCGCAUACGACCUACGGGGGAAAGCAGGGGAUCUUCGGACCUUGCGCGAUUGAAUGAGCCGAUGUCGGAUUAGCUAGUUGGCGGGGUAAAGGCCCACCAAGGCGACGAUCCGUAGCUGGUCUGAGAGGAUGAUCAGCCACACUGGAACUGAGACACGGUCCAGACUCCUACGGGAGGCAGCAGUGGGGAAUAUUGGACAAUGGGCGCAAGCCUGAUCCAGCCAUACCGCGUGGGGGAAGAAGGCCUUCGGGUUUUAAAGCCCUUUUUUUGGGAAAGAAAUCCAGCUGGCUAAUACCCGGUUGGGAUGACGGUACCCAAAGAAUAAGCACCGGCUAACUUCGUGCCAGCAGCCGCGGUAAUACGAAGGGGGCAAGCGUUACUCGGAAUUACUGGGCGUAAAGCGUGCGUAGGGGGUCGUUUAAGUCCGUUUUGAAAGCCCUGGGCUCAACCUGGGAACUGCAGUGGAUACCGGGCGACUAGAAUGUGGUAGAGGGUAGCGGAAUUCCUGGGGUAGCAGUGAAAUGCGUAGAGAUCAGGAGGAACAUCCAUGGCGAAGGCAGCUACCUGGACCAACAUUGACACUGGG